UUACGGUGGCAACUUCUUACGGACCAUCACAUGGGACGUUUCUAGCUCUUCUGCCCCACGUUGGGAUACUCUUCUACCAUACGUCUAGAUUUUUCCACCCCAACUUGCCCAUUCCAAUUUGGAGGCGUCCCCAACAGGUUCCCUAGAAUCCUAGAUGGAGAUUUUUUUCCAUCUACAGAUCAAACUCAAUCAGCCUCCACCGUCCCAUUUUCUCGGGGCAAUUUUUUCCCUCCCGAGAUUCCUGGCUGACCUUCUCCAUGGCCGGUGGGAUGGUAUUAGUCAGGCCUCUUCCAACGCCAUGGCCGUUGCCGAGGUGCUCCCGCCGUCCCUGCUCCGGCUUCCUGCUGCAUCCCCUCACCUGAUGGUGUGGUGGUGGACGCGUGUGGGGCCAGUGGCGAGGAUGGAGCGGCACUAGGCAAGCUCGAUGCGAGGAAGCGGAGGCGGUUGGCACUGGACACGGGAGUCAGUCAGACGUGCUCGCCGUUGGAGGCAGCAGCCGGCUGGAGACGUUCGAGGGCUGGCCGCCAUUAGUUGUGAGGGAGAUCGAUAAGGCGGAGAUGGAGGACAUCACGCCGGAGCAGGAGGGGCUGGAAGAGGCCUGCUAUCCGGACUGGAAGGGGCUGCAAGAGGAUUCACGCCGGAGCAGGAGGGGCUGCUGGGGGCAAAUCGCCUACGCAGUUGACAUUGGGAGGCGGGGAUUUCUUCGCGUCAUCAUCUUGCUGGAUGAUGAGGUCAGUUGCCUCACAGGAAAAGCUGCUCAGCGUGGUUGUUAGAGGGGUGGCCGCGAGCACAGCUGACCGGAGGUUGGCUUGCAGGAGGAUGGGAUGAAUCGCCUCCCACACAACACUUUUUUGCCCCGCCACUCCACCAACCUUUCUUCGUCCCAGCCUAGAGUAUCACGGUUGCCACAAAAACUUCAGAAAUAUUAAUUGCUCUGAGAUUUUGAUGCCUAACAAGUGUUUGUUGUUAUGCCUAUAAGAACUAAAUCAGUGUAUUUAUGCAGCGCAUCUGGGCUUCCUUAUUCUUCUUGCUAGCUUUCAUAUCUUAUGGCUGUUGGGAGCAAUUUGGUGAUCUGAACUUUACUCAGUAAGAUCCUGCAGGAAAUUUGUGUAGCUCAUUAUAUAGUCAAGCAUGGACGCAUCUGCAAUAAAUUUUUGUACUAGCUCAUUAUAUAAUCAAGCAUGGCCGCAAUGGAGAGUGCCUUUUCCUGGCUAAUGAGUAAUAAUUCAAAGGUAUCAUCUUAAACCACUAUUUUUUCUUGAUGACACUGCUAAUAUCUUCUUCAUCAAAGACCUUUUUUUUUUUCUUGAUGACACUGCGAAUAUCUUCUUCAUCAAAGUUCCCAAUGGAGUUGGAAGAAGUGUGCUUACUGUUUAACAAACGAGCAAUUUUUUGGCCAAUUUCCCGCUUUUGAACUGAUGAUAUCCCACAAGUUAGUGACAAAUAUUUUAAGAAGUCUCAUGUCAAUGCUGUUAGAACAAAGAAGGACAUGGAAUUAGCCUGAUGUUUUUUACAGUGAUUCACAAAAGCUUAGAUGAAGAAAGAAGCUGAUGAAAUUCAAUCCUACACUAUUACCAAGAACUCACGUAAGAAAAUCAAAGGGAAAGGUACCCACCUUUUAACGGGAGAAAGGCCAGGUCAUCAGAGCAAGCAUAGUUUACUGGGCGAAGCAAUCAUCUCGUUUUCCCCUCCCUUUUUGGGAAGCACCUCUCUACGCGAAUGUUGAUGGCGGCUUUCACCACAAGAUAGGUUGUUUGGGAUCAGAGCUAUAGAGAUGAAAAGCCUAUCGGACCGUUGCGACAUUUCAUUAAGAACACUGCACGAAAGAUGCGGCGGUUGGCCAACUUGCUAGGUUGCCGCGACGUCGAAAUUCCUACAUCCUCUUCUGAAGAGCCGGAGAUUCCUGACGACGAGGAAAUUUUGAGUCAAAGCAUUAGUCGCGGCAAGAAGCAAGCCACACGGUCUGCUUAUCAGUUGAAGCCAAGGGGCAAGGCUCCAAACCGAUACACUCCAGAAGAAUAUGUCAACCGAGAAAAGAAGGUUGUCAUUGAGGAGGAUGAGGCGCCGCCGCGGAGAUCAUCAUUGAGGAGGAUGAGGAACGAUGAACCGUUAUCUUCAGAGGAGGAAGAGCAGCAGGAGCAGGAGCAACAACAACAAGGGCCACGGCAGCGGACGAAAAGGAUGGCCGUCCGGAAGCAGCCCGUGAGGAGGGGACAUCGAGGAUAGAUGGAUUUGUGUUGUGAACUCUAUCUUCAUUGCUACGUGUUCUAUACUCUAUAUCAUUACUACGUGUUGUGAAUUAUAUGUCAUUUCGAACCAUGUCUAUUGUUGCUACUUGUUGUUUGAAUCUACGUGCUACGAUGUGAGCUA